rnacentral:lncRNA from 1 species
GGACAAAACUGCACCUCCUAAGUGGCAGUUCUCCAAGUCUACCUGUAGUCCGUGGACUGGCCAGGCUUACAGGGAAUGCAUCCCUGUAGACAGUGCUUGACGGGACAGAUGCAGACCAGGAAAGGCUUGCACAACACCUAGGGGGCUAGAGGGAGAGCAGCAGAGGUAAGGUAGGGUUAGAACUCAGUGACGGGUGCACGCCUUUGAUCCCAGCACCUGUGGGCAGAGCCAGGAGGAUCUCAGAAUUUGAGGCCAGUCUGGUCUACAGCCAGGCCUACAAAGAAACCAUGUCUCUCAAAAAAAAAAAAAAAAAAAAAAAAAGAGCCAAACCAAAACCAAAACACUUAUUUCCAAAGCACAUUAGGUCCAAUCAAGAAUUCAGUUUGGCCGGGCAGUGGUGGCACACGCCUUUAAUCCCAGCACUUGGGAGGCAGAGACAGGCAGAUUUCUGAGUUCGAGGCCAGCCUGGUCUACAAAGUGAGUUCCAGGACAGCCAGGGCUACACAGAGAAACCCUGUCUUGAAAAAGAAACAACAAAAAAUUCAGUUUGACUUUAAAACAUAAACAAAACCAAAACAAUUUUAUUUGACAAAAGACAAAAACCAGUUAUUUACAGUAGUUUUUUGCUCAAAUAUUGUUCAAUGGGACAACCGUGCUUCUCCACAUUUAUCUUACAGGCAACCUAAGCAGAGACCGCUCUACCUUUCUGAUGCCCUGUUUUAUCCCAGGAGGGGGAAUGCCAGAAUAUGUCAGCAGCAUGGCUCCCUCCCUCCUCCCUUGCUCAGUGCACUGUGGGGGGAAAAGAAAUCCCUCAUCCUAGUAUCACCCCCGCCUUAGCAUCCUACAGCCAUCAUGGGGUCUCACAGACAGGUGGGGUAGCAGUGGGCAAACCACAAAGUCAAUGAAGCCAUGUUCCCUUCCCAGCAGUGCCUCAGGGUGACAGAGAGUUGAGCCUGCUGGGUCUCCUACAGGACAGGAAGCCAGAGGGAGGCAUGAGGCAGAGCCCAGGGAAGCAGCCCCUUACAAAUAGCCAUUCUCGCGCCCACUUGCACAGCAAGGGAUGGGUGAAGUCACUCAGGAGAGGUAUGGAAGCCUGCUAAGCCUCAGGGGCUCCCUGGAAAGGCCAGAGUGGUCUCUGCCUUCCUCGGAACAGGCACUCCAAGCCAGUCAACAUCCAAGAGCCCCGUCUGUGCUCACACCCGGGUGAACCUCAGACCACAGUCAGGGCUCCUCACAUCUUCUGGUUAUUCAGAACACAAGUAUUUUGGUUAAUACAAAUCUAGGAUUAGUGUUUCUUAGGAUAUAAAGAUGGGGUAUACUGUUGCUGAAAACUAAGCAAAGUAAACGGGAAAAGGGGAGAGAUUAAGACCAAGUGUGGUCUGUUUCCCCGGGAAAUUUAGGCAGGCCCUUGCAAUCCCACCCUGAAGGGAGGUGGGCCAGUCGGUAGCCUCAGCAGCCUCUCCUCCAGGAAGGUUCCAGCUGCCUCUGUGAACAAGCAGCUUUCCGAAGGGCCUAAUGACCAGCAGAUGGCUCACUCCUCCCAAGUAGAUGCUGGCACACGACAUUCUUGCCAAGCUCCAGAAUAAAUCCGAAACAAGCUACAAAGGUGGUGCAGGGUGGGGGUCGCUGGGGUGGGGUGAGGGGAGUUACUCAGAACAGAGAGAAAAACAGAGCUGUUUCACUCUAGCUUAACCACGACAAUAGAAACACGUGUGCCUCUGGUUUUGUCAUCUGUCUCUGCUGUGUCUAAAUGACCGUCUGGUGCAAAUAACCCACCACCUGUGGAUAUUUUCCUUCUGUCUUUUAUAAUAGGGAAGACCAAACCAAGAAUUAAACAACCACUCUAGUCUGAACUCAGCACCACUGCAGAGAAUCUGCUGGUCCCUAUACAACCAUCCUGUGGGAAGUAGAUUACCCACUUACCGAGCUCCACCCACCGUGUAAGGUGCUCUCUCCCCACACCUGUGCUUCUGGGCUACCUACUGCAUUAACACAAACCAC